AGCGAACGUUUGCGGCGGGCCUAACACAUGCAAGUCGAACGGGCUACUUCGGUAGUCAGUGGCGCACGGGUGCGUAACACGUGGGUAAUCAACCCUCUAGACUGGGAUAACCCGGGGAAACUCGAGCUAAUACCAGAUGUGUCGCCCUGAUCCUCGGAUCGGGUCGAGAAAAGGUCGCAAGGCCUGUUAGAGGACGAGCCCGCGGCCCAUCAGCUUGUUGGUGAGGUAAUGGCUCACCAAGGCUAAGACGGGUAGCUGGUCUGAGAGGAUGGCCAGCCACACUGGAACUGAGACACGGUCCAGACUCCUACGGGAGGCAGCAGUGGGGAAUAUUGCGCAAUGGGCGAAAGCCUGACGCAGCCACGCCGCGUGAGCGAUGAAGGCCU
rnacentral:rRNA from 1 species